UUUUUGCAGGUUACGGACAAGAAAUUAUCUGCAAAAUCAUAGAUACCGAUGCAAAAAUAGAUGACUGUAUCACAAAUAUGUAUGCAGCAACAGAGGAGGUAGUUUAAGUCACUUGUAUCCUUUCUGUGUUUCAGGAAAGUGCAGCAGGUAAUGAGGCAAGGCUUCUAUCAUCCAUUCAGGCAUCCCCGUCUACUUUCAGGCCAGCUGCAGAACUUCCUUAAACUACACUUACCCCAAGAGCAUUACCAUUCAUUUCUCCACGGAUUGUUGAGCUCCCUGAAGUUGCAUGUGGCCCAAGAACUUUCUCCUUGACACCAGAACAAUCAUCUCAAUCUUUCAUCUAUUGCUAGUGCAUCUGCGACAAGUGGCUGGUUUAAAUAGUUUUCUGAGUGUUGUAGUGUGCAUGAGUAACCUGUCCCUGAUGUAUUCUGCAGGAGGUUUGAAGCUUCAUUAGAAGUUCUAUUCCCUGGGAUUCGAAGAGGGCGCUAAAUGCUCUAAGAACAAUCUGUGGGUAAGGUAAAUUCAACCAAGAUAGUUCGACCAACUUCUCUCUAGUCUCCAGUUCCUAGUGCUAGUGCUUUUGAGAGUGCUGAGGGAUCAGAUGAUGUGGAUUUGGCUGCAUUUUCCAAACUAUGCUUGGUCACAUGAGUGCCAUUGUUGAGCAAAAUCCUAUUUCUGCAGCCAGCAUGAUCCGAUAGCAGCUGAAAUUCUUAGAGAAGAGCCAGAGCAUGAAAGUUUUAUGCGCCUGAUAAUCACUAAAGUUUUAUGCGCCUGAUAAUCACUCCAAAUGUUUGUAAACGAACCUUGCCACCAGAUUGAGAGAAGUGAGCGCAACAUUCGCCAAAUUGGUGUCUUAUCUUAUACUCCAAGGUUAGCAACCCUUGCUCCUCGUAUGGAACAGUACAUCCGGGGACAAUCUAUUUACACUAUUGGAGAAAGGUGUAUUACUGAAAUAUUUUCCUUGUUUUGGGGAAUGUUGGGGUUUGCGCUGUAUUGCUUCUGAGGAUGAGCUUGAUGUCUUGAUGUCUAGAUAUGAAUAAGUAUGCUGCACGAAAGAGGCCUGAGCUUUAGUGAGAAAGAAAGUGGGCAAUGAACGAAUGAAGUGGAUCACUUCUGGAGAUAUGGAACUCUUUAUUCAUGAGCAGCAUUCUAGCAUGAUCAACGAUUUUCUUGGUCAUUACCCUGUAUACGUGCCUGUUGUCCGCCUGGCGAAAAAGUGGAUUUCUUCUCAUCUCUUUUCGUCAUUUGUGGAAGAGGAUCUAUGCUCCUUAAUCCCAGACAAUUGAAUUUUUGAGGUUCUUAGGGGAAUGUUGAACCCCACCUGAACCUGAAUGCGGGUCUCGAUAUGGAUGUGAGGCUUAGAUUAUAGGGAGGUGAAUAGGGAGGUGGAGACUAGGGAGCCAAAUAGCAUUUCCGAUUUUUUUUAUUCUUUUUUUCGAUAAUAUGCUUUCUAGAGACUGUUGUAAAGCUUAUUAGUUGGAUAGUUUCCGUUCGCAUACUGUUUCUAUUCGUGCAUUGUAAUAGUUCGACGAAGGAGAGGAAGUAUGAUACAAUCAGACGACUGCUCGGCUAAGCGUAUGCAUCCCCAAUCUAGAAGAAUCUGAGACAACAGAGGAAUUCUCUAUUCAGUCACUCUCUUCUACAAGUUUUAUAAAGAUAGCAUUGAGGAAUUCUCUAUCUCAAACCUCUGUAAGUUCCUUAUGGGAUUGUUGUACUCUCUUUUCAAUCUUCUGCAACUUUCAAAUAGGAUUCAGGUACUCCUUAUUCAAUGUUUGGCAAGAUUCGUAUCUCAAUGGCAUAUGAAGGUACUCUUUAUUCAUUCUUUUGCAAGACUCGAUGCCAUAUGGAGGUACUCAAUAUGCAAUCUUAUGCAAGUCUUUAUUCAAUCUUAUAUAGGUUUCAUAUAAAAAAUUAUAUGUAUGAUGAUUUCAGCAAGAUUCGUGUGAGAUGGAGGUGUUCUCCAUUCAAUCUACCGUAAGUUCCAUAUGGCGUUGAAGUAUUCUCUAUUAAAUCUUCUGAAAAAAUUAGAGGUAUUCUGAAUUCAAUCUUGCGCUAAUUUCAUACGAGAUAGAUAUAUUCUCCACUCAAUCCCCUGCAAGUUCCAUAUGCUAUUGAGGUAUUUUCUAUUUAAUGUUCCGCAAGUUCCAUACUGCAUUGAGAUACUUUCUAUUCAGUCUCUUGCAAGUUUUAUAUGGCAUUGGGUACUACUCUCUAUUUAAUUUUAUGCAAAUUUCGUACGAAAAAUUAGAGGUAUUCUGAAUUUCAACUUCUGCUAAUUUCAUACGAGAUAUAGGUAUUCUCUAUUCUGUCAUCUGCAAGUUCCAUAUGGUGUUGAGGUACUACUCCCUAUUCAAACUUCUGCAAAUUUCGUAACUUCUGCAAAUUUCGUAUGAAAAAUUAGAGGUCUUCAGUAUUCAAUUUUUUUGUAAGUUUCAUGCGAGAUAGAGGUACUCUCUAUUCAAUCCUAGUUACAUAUGACGUUGAGGUAAGCUCUAUUCAGUCUUCUGCAAGUUAUGUAUGAAAUAAUUAGUGGUAUUUUACACUCAAUCCUCUGGAAGUUCCACAUGGCAUUGAGUUAAUACUUUUUAUUUAAUCUUCUGCAAGUUUCAUGAAAAAUUAGAGGUAUUCUGAAUUUAAUCUUCUGCUAAUUUCAUACGAGAUAUAGGUAUUCUCCAUUCAAUCCUCUGCAAAUUUUAUAUGACAUUGAGGUCCUCUUUAUUUUAUCUUUUGCAAGUUUCAUAUAAAAAAUUAGGAGUAUUGUAAAUUCAAACUUCUGCUAAUUUCGUACGAGAUAAAGGUAUUUUCCAUUCAAUCCUCUGCAAGUUUAAUAUUGCAUAGAGGUAUUACUCUCUAUUUAAUCUUCUGUAAGUUUUACGUGAAAAACUAGAGGUAUUCUAAAUUCAAUUUUUUGCUAAUUUCAUACGAGAUAUAGGUAUUUCUUCUGCAAAUUUCGUACGAUAUCGAGGUACUCUCUAUUCAAUCAUCUGCAAAUUUCAUACUAGAUAUAAGUAAUCAUAUUCAAUUCUCUGUAAGGUCCAUAUGGCAUUGAGGUAAUUCUUUCUAUUUAAUCUUCUACGAGUUUCGUAUAACAAUUAGAGGUAUUCUGAAUUUAAUGUUCUGCUAAUUUCAUACGAGAUUUAGGAAAUCUCUUUUCUAUCCUCGGCAAGUUCCAUACUGCAUCGAGGUACCUUCUAUUCAAUCUUUUGCAAGUUUCAUAUGAAGAAUUAGAGGCAUUCUCUACUAAUUUCAUACGGUAUAUAUGUAUUCACAUUCAAUCCUCUGCAAGUUCCGUAUGGUGUUGAGGUACUACUCUAUAUUCAAACUUCAGCAAGUUUCGUAUGAAAAAUUAGAGGUAUUCUGUAUUCAAUCUUCUGUAAGUUUCAUGCGAGAUAAAGGUAUUCUCCAUUCAAUCUGAGGUAAGCUCUAUUCAGUCUUCUGCAAGUUAUGUAUAUAAAAAUAAUUAGUGGUAUUCUCCAUUCAAUCAUCUGCAAGUUCCAUAUGGCAUCGAGUUACCACUAUCUAUUUAUUCUUCUCUAAAUUUUGUAUGAAAAUUAGAUGUAUUCUAAAUUCAAUCUUCUAUUAAUUUCGUGCGAGAUAGAGGUAUUGUACAUUCUAUCCUCUGCAAGUUCCAUGACAUUAUGGUACUCUGUUUUAAAUAUUCUUCAAGUUUCGUAUGAAAAUUAGAGGUAUUCUGUAUGUAAUCUUCAGUAAAUUUCAUACGAGAUCGAGGUAUUCUUCAUUCAAUCCUCUGCAAAUUCUGAAAUUUCCAUAUGGCAUCGAGGAACUCUCUAUUUAAUCUUCAGUACAUUGCGUAUGAAAAAUUAGAGGAAUUUUGAAUUCAAUCUUCUGCUAAUUGCAUAAAAUAUAUAGGUAUUAUCUAUUCAAUCCUCUGCAAGUUCCAUAUGUCAUCGAGGUACUACUCACUAUUCAAUCUACUGCAAGUUUCGUAUGAAAAAUUAAAAGUUUUCUGAAUUCAAUCUUCUGCAAGUUUCAUACGAGAUUGAGGAAUUAUUCAUCCAAUCUUCCGCAAGUUCCAUAUGGCAUUGAGGUACUCUCUAUUAAAUCUUCUGAAAAAAAAAUAGAGGUACUCUGAAUUCAAUCUUAUGCUAAUUUCAUACGAGCUAUAGGUAUUCUUCAUUCAGUCCUCUGUAAGUUCCAUAUGGCAUUGAGGUACUACUCUCUAUUCAAUCUUCUGCAAGUUUCGUAUGAAAAAUUAAAGGUAUUCUGAAUUUAAUCUUCUGCUAAUUUCGUACUAGAUAGAGGCAUUCUCCAUUCAAUCCUCCGCAAGUUCAAUAUGCUAUUGAGGUACAUUUUAUUUAAUCUUCUGCAAGUUUCGUAUGAAAAAUUAAAGUUAUUCUCAAUUUAGUAUUCUGCUAAUUUCAUACGAUAUAUAGGUAUUCCCUAUUAAAUCCUCUGCAAGUUCCGUAUGACAUUGAAGUACUCUUUAUUCAAUCUUCUGCAAGUUUCGUAUGAAAAAAUUAGAGGUAUUCUGAAUUCAAUCUUCUGCUAAUUUCAUUCCAGAUAUAACUAUUUUCCGUUCAAUCCUCUGCAAGUUCCAUAUGACAUUGAGGUACUACUCUCUAUUCAAUCUACUGCAAGUUUCAUACGAGAUUGAGGAAUUCUCCAUUCAAUCUUCCGCAAGUUCCAUAUGGCAUUGAGAUACUCUUUAUUAAAUCUUAUGCAAAAAAUUAGAGGUAUUCAGAAUUCAAUCUUCUGUGAAUUUUAUACGAGAUAUAAAUAUUCUCUAUUCAAUUUUCUGCAAGGUCCAUAUGGUGAUGAGGUAUUACUCUAUAUUCAAUCUUCUGUAGGUUUCGUAUGAAAAAUUAGAGGUUUUCUGAAUUUAAUCUUCUGCUAAUUUUAUACGAGAUAUAAGUAUACUCCAUUCAACCCUUUGUAAGUUUUGUAUGACAUUGAGGUCCUCUUUAUUCAAUCUUAUGCAAGUUUCAUAUGAAAAAUUAGAGGUAUUCUGAAUUCAGUCUUCUUCUAAUUUAAUACAUGAUAUAGGUAUUCACUAUUUAAUCAUCUGCAAGUUCCAUAUGGCAUUAAGAUACUACUCUCUAUUAAAUCUACUGCAAGUUUCGUUUGAAAAACUAUGUUUUCGGAAUUUAAUCUUCUGCAAGUUUUAAUACGAGAUGGUGGAAUUCUCCAUUCAAUCCUCUACAACUUCCAA